rnacentral:misc_RNA from 1 species
UUUAUAUCAUUCUUAGACGAAAAUUUAUUCGACAUGUUUGCUUCCUGAUUUUCCAACGCUUCAAAGCAAUGGCCACGGGACAAGUUUCCGACUUUUAUCAAAAUAGUAAAAUAACGGAUUUUAAUUUGAGCAACUCUAGUGUAUAUUCUACGAGUUACGAUGACGUCCAAGCUAUUACUCCCAAAACACAGCCUGUGUCACCGAGCGCUGUAGAUUUCUCAAAAAUCCACACGGGUUCACCAAGUUCAUAUAACCCGGGCGCAAAAUUGGACCCUAGUUCUUUACAGACUAACAAGGACUCCAGGACUCUAGGAAAUGGUUCCAUUGGUUUUAACAAAGACAGAGAGGAAAUAACUUUUUCACAGGAGCCCUACACUCCUUCCGAAAGAGAUUACCCUGUGGUAAAUCUCUCUCUCUCUCUCUCUCUCUCUCUCUCUCUCUCUCUCUCUCUCUCUCUCUCUCAAAGCAAAUAGUUAUACGUAAAAUCGAUGAACAAAUAAUCAUAUAACACUAAAUUGUUAUAAUUUUUAAAACGAAGGAUAAAUCCAAAAAGAAGGACGACGAUGAUGAACAACCCAAAAAGAAGGUCCGUUACAUGGACUCCGCCCGGUUUAUAAUAGCAUCAGUGUUUAUCGCUGUGGCCAUAUUGGCGGUGGUUGUGGUGACUGUUGAGUACGAAAAUACACAGGACACAAGGACAAGUGCUUCAUCCGUUGACUUUCAAUGUAUAUUGAUUCCAAAUGACACUACAGCAGCGAAAAAACUGAAAUUUAAUACGACGAUAGAAAUAUUGUGUGACUAUUCAGAAAAAAUCGCUAGUGACGUUUACAACUCGACUCUACUGAUGGAAUUCAAACCCGAGUAUUACCUUCUGCAAACUCAAAACGCCAUGGAGAUUAAUCACACCCUACUGCCGACCACGGUUCAAGCAGGACGGUGGCAAAUCAGCGUGUCCCACCCUCAACGCAGGAUAAGGAUCCUUGGGGAUCCGGUGAAGUGCGGGGGUGACGGAUAUUUUAGAAUUACAUUAAUACAAAAGCCUAAUAAAAUAUACCCAAGUGACGUGAACAUCCAAAUUGAAAGCGAAACUUCUGAAGUACAGUUGGAGGUUGGUCAGUCAAAAGCAGACGGGCAAUACAAGAUCACGUGCUCCUCAACAAGCGAUUGUACGCCUGCGCCAAUAACCUUGCUUGGAUCUCUUGGAAAUAAGGUUGUUCCCUUAUAUGGAAUGAACUUCACGUGCAUCAUUAAAUAUAACGACUAUGAUGGUUGGUCCGUAAAUUGUACCGGAAGUAUUCCCAAAAGUGUUGUCAGUUCUAUUGACGAGAUCACGUGCCGUCCUAUCCUUGAAGACAAAAAAGAGGCUGACAAAACGGAAGCUAAAGUUUCCAAGGAUGUACUCCUUUGUAACAAUGAUGAAACCUGUAACUUUCAAUGCCCUAAACAGAAUCAGGACAAAUAUUAUUCGGAUCCAAAAUUUUGCAACAUUUUCCACCGCUGUGUGAACGAGAGACUGUACACGGCUCCCUGUGGGAAGGGUACAUACUUCUCUACUAAAAGGUGCGCCUGUAGCCAUAUUAAUGACGUCAUAGGAGAAAAUAGCUGCAAUACGGACGGACUUAGACUCAAGGGAGGAAAGGACAAAGAACUGUGUACUGAUUCCACUCGAAGAUAGCGAGCUUACCUUAUGGUUACAUCUGUAUGAGUUCUUCAAAGCAUAGUGAAGAAAAGAAUAUCAUUUUUCAUUUCAUCUUUAUGUCAUCACGUAGCUUAUAUUUUAAUUUUAGAAGGCACGAUUUUCUGUUUAUAUAGCACAUUGUAUGUUUGAUUAUGAUUUUUGUUCAUCCGCGAUACAUGUUCUUUGCGCAUGAUUGUCAUACAAUGAUAAAAGUAUUUUAAACACACAGUAAACGUC